UUACCCUCCUCACCAACUCAACAUAAGACACACAGGGGAUACUUUAAAAGGCUAACACAGAAGGGUAAAGGAACUCUCUAUACAACCCAGAGGGGAAAACUACACCUUCUCUUAGCAUCCUGUCUGAAGUCACAGAU
ensembl:snoRNA Gm24729 small nucleolar RNA SNORA26